UACGGAGGGUGCAAGCGUUGUCCGGAAUCACUGGGCGUAAAGGGCGCGUAGGCGGCUCAUGAAGGCUGUGGUGAAAGUCCGGGGCUCAACCUCGGAUCGGCCGUGGCGACUCGUGGGCUGGAGCACUGUAGAGCGGGUGGAAUUCCGGGUGUAGCGGUGGAAUGCGUAGAGAUCCGGAAGAACACCAGUGGCGAAGGCGGCCCGCUGGGCAGUGGCUGACGCUGAGGCGCGACAGCGGUGGGGAGCAAACGAGG
rnacentral:rRNA from 1 species